UAAUCGGUCAUUUUCAGGACCACAAACAUUUUCAAAACAUGAAAC
rfam:Trachymyrmex septentrionalis contig4261, whole genome shotgun sequence.